rnacentral:rRNA from 1 species
UACGUAGGGUGCAAGCGUUAAUCGGAAUUACUGGGCGUAAAGGGCGCGUAGGCGGUCUUCUAAGUCUUGUGUGAAAUCCCUCGGCUCAACUGAGGAACUGCACGGGAUACUGGAAGACUUGAGUUCGGGAGAGGGAAGCGGAAUUCCGGGUGUAGCGGUGAAAUGCGUAGAUAUCGGGAGGAACACCAGUGGCGAAGGCGACUACCUGGCCUGUUCUUGACGCUGAGGCGCGAAAGCUAGGGGAGCA